AGAAUCAACGCUGGCGGCGUGCCUAACACAUGCAAGUCGAACGAGAAAGUGGAGCAAUCCAUGAGUAAAGUGGCGCACGGGUGAGUAACACGUGACUAACCUACCUUUUAGUGGGGGAUAACCUAGGGAAACCUGGGCUAAUACCGCAUAGACUACCGUACGGGUACAAAGCAGCAAUGCGCUAGAAAGGAGGGGGUCGCGGCCGUAUUAGCUAGGUUGGGACGGGUAAUCGGCCCACGAAGGCAGUGAUCGGUAUCCGGCCUGA
rnacentral:rRNA from 1 species